AAAUGCCUAGGAAAUUGCCCUGAUGUGGGGGAUAACCAUUGGAAACGAUGGCUAAUACCGCAUGAUGCCUACGGGCCAAAGAGGGGGACCUUCGGGCCUCUCGCGUCAGGAUAUGCCUAGGUGGGAUUAGCUAGUUGGUGAGGUAAGGGCUCACCAAGGCGACGAUCCCUAGCUGGUCUGAGAGGAUGAUCAGCCACACUGGAACUGAGACACGGUCCAGACUCCUACGGGAGGCAGCAGUGGGGAAUAUUGCACAAUGGGCGCAAGCCUGAUGCAGCCAUGCCGCGUGUGUGAAGAAGGCCUUCGGGUUGUAAAGCACUUUCAGUCGUGAGGAAGGUGGUGUAGUUAAUAGCUGCAUCAUUUGACGUUAGCGACAGAAGAAGCACCGGCUAACUCCGUGCCAGCAGCCGCGGUAAUACGGAGGGUGCGAGCGUUAAUCGGAAUUACUGGGCGUAAAGCGCAUGCAGGUGGUUUGUUAAGUCAGAUGUGAAAGCCCGGGGCUCAACCUCGGAAUUGCAUUUGAAACUGGCAGACUAGAGUACUGUAGAGGGGGGUAGAAUUUCAGGUGUAGCGGUGAAAUGCGUAGAGAUCUGAAGGAAUACCGGUGGCGAAGGCGGCCCCCUGGACAGAUACUGACACUCAGAUGCGAAAGCGUGGGGAGCAAACACGAUUAGAUACCCCUGGUAGUCCACGCCGUAAACGAUGUCUACUUGGA
rnacentral:rRNA from 1 species